rfam:Gossypium hirsutum cultivar TM-1 chromosome 19, whole genome shotgun sequence
UGUUAAAAAUUUCAUCCAUUUGUAUUGUUAAAAACUGACGUGACUGAUAAAAUAACUAGGCAGUAACACGUGGAGUGCCACAUAUACCUCAUUUUGACAUAUAGGAAUCAAUUUUUAACCGUAGAAAUAGAUACAAUUUUUAACA